rnacentral:ribozyme from 1 species
UGCCCAGCAACUCCUAUUCCAACCCCCACGUGGCAUCGGACGGACUGCGAGCAAUCUUAGGGAAGAUCGGGUAGCCAACCCCGGUGGGAACUUUGGUCGUAGGCUAACAGGGAAGG